UUUUACAGAUGAGCAAAGAAAGUGGUUUCUUAAAAUGGAAUCAACUUUUGAUGAAGAUGCUGUGAA
rnacentral:pre_miRNA from 1 species